GUUCCUAUUAAGUGGCCAAAAAGUAGAGAUGAAGUUUGGAAAGCAAACAUACCACACACACAUCUUGCACAUGAAAAAUCUGACCAGAACUGGAUGGUUGAGAAAGGUGAAAAAAUUGUGUUUCCAGGAGGAGGCACACAUUUUCACAACGGAGCUGAUAAGUACAUAGCAUCAAUUGCAAAUGUAGGUUUCUUUGGAUUUUAGGCUAUGAAAAAUUUUAUUUCUUUAACUAGUUUAUACAAUCCAUGUCUGGGAUUUAUAUAAGAUCCUUUCUAUUAUGCAGUUUUGAAGGAAAUUUAUUGAUGUUUUUUUUCAUACACAUUGACUGGCAGAUGCUGAACUUUUCCAACAAUAAAUUGAAUAAUGAAGGAAAUAUACGCACAGUUCUUGACGUUGGCUGUGGUGUUGCGAGUUUCGGAGGCUAUCUUCUUUCAUCCAAUAUAAUUACCAUGUCAUUAGCACCUAAUGAUGUACAUCAAAAUCAGAUACAGUUUGCAUUAGAAAGAGGAAUUCCUGCUUAUCUUGGUGUUCUUGGGACGAAGAGGCUUCCUUAUCCAAGCAGAUCAUUUGAAUUUGCUCACUGUUCUCGUUGUAGGAUUGAUUGGCUGCAGAGGGAUGGAAUCCUUCUUCUUGAGUUGGACAGGCUACUCAGACCUGGAGGCUAUUUUGCUUAUUCAUCUCCUGAAGCAUAUGCACAAGACGAUGAGGAUUUGAGAAUCUGGAGAGAGAUGAGUGCACUUGUGGAACGUAUGUGUUGGAGAAUAGCUGAAAAAAGGAAUCAAACUGUCAUUUGGGUCAAGCCUUUGACAAAUGACUGUUAUAUGGAACGACCACCUGGUACUCAACCCCCUCUUUGCCAGUCUGAUGAUGAUCCUGAUGCAGUGUGGGGAGUCAAAAUGGAAGCUUGCAUUUCACGUUACUCAGACCGUAAGUUUCUGAUUUGCAUCAAACUUAUUUUAUUUUAUUUUUUCUUUACCUUUUUGUAGCCCUAAAUGUGAAACAUAUUCAAUAAAGUUCGGAGAUGAUAAUUACUCUGCACUUAGAAACAGUGCUUGAAGAUCAGGGCUGGUGAAUACGAUCCAAUAUCCUGAAUUUUAGAAAGCUUGAGUGCUUAAAGCCUUAAAUGGGGCAGAUUUUACCUGAAUAAUAACUUGCUAUUAGCUAAAGAAGCAGCAGGUUGUUUAUUUGCUCUUCACUUAAGAUUUUUUUUAUUUGUAGUCACUUGCUGUAUUCAGAAGUGAUAACUACCUCCUUAGUUUGUGUUUUAAGUGCUUUUCACAUUGGGUUACAGCCUGUGAAUGGAUAGAAAGUUCUUGGCUUUAGGGCACAAAUUGAAUGGUUUGGCACUUGUACUAACAAUUGUAGUUUGAAGUUAAAAGAGUUUUGGUGCUUCAGGGUUAUGCCGAGGACAAUCACAAUAGUAAUGGAAAAAACAGGUUUAUGAUCUAAAUGGUAAUUUACUCUGUUCUUUUUCUUUCAGAUGAUCAUAGGACUAGGGGUAGCGGUUUGGCCCCUUGGCCUGCUCGACUGACUGCUCCACCUCCACGCCUUGCUGAUUUCGGUUACUCAAGUGAAAUGUGGGAAAAAGACAUGGUAAUUUUGAGGCCUAAUAUUAGCUCUCUCUCUCUUUCUCUCUCUCUCUGUCUCUCUCUCUCUCUAUGUGCUCUUUAGUUGUAUAUCUCAAAGGCCUUUGUACUUCUGUGGUAUAUGCACAGCAACUUUGGCAGCGGAGGGUUGAGAAUUACUGGAAUCUUUUAAGUCCAAAGAUUUCAUCAGACACUCUGAGAAAUGUGAUGGACAUGAAAGCGAAUAUGGGCUCAUUUGGAGCUGCUUUGAAGGACAAAAACGUUUGGGUGAUGAAUGUUGUGCCUGAAGAUGGUCCUAACACGCUUAAGCUUGUGUACGAUAGAGGGCUUAUUGGCACAAUCCAUAACUGGUAUGCUACUGAAUUGUUUUGUAGUUUUCAUAAAUUUGAAGUUUGGUUACUAAAUUUUCAUCUUCUGGUACAAGUGAAUAAUUCAAGGGUUGGAAGAGUUAAUUUAGUGGCUGAAGAAAAUUUAGAUUAUUGGAACAUAUUAUAACAUUUGUCUUGGUAUGUUGAGGCUCUAUUCUUCUUUUCUUGAGCUUCUUAAAUUUGAUUAUGGAAAAAUAAUUGCUGCUCAAAAAAUUUGAAAACAUGUUUUGGUUGUUUAGGGUUUUUGAAAGCCAAAAACUGUUUUCAGAAUCACCUCCAGGCUGCUGUCAGCAAUCAGUUUAUUCAAGCAUAAUUAAAGCUUAAAAAGAAGGUCAACUGCAAGUGAGACUACCUAGAAAAGAGAUUUUAGCUAAAGAAUGUAUGUACUCAGCUGAUUUUAAGCAACUUAGGACAGGCACCAAUGGCCGAGAGUUUUCCUAGCUUUCUUAGAAAAGUGACAAACAUUGCAGAUGCUCUAUAACCUUUAUUCAGUAUGCCUUACUUCAAAUUUGUUGGAAACAGGUGUGAAGCCUUCUCAACAUACCCUAGGACUUAUGAUUUGCUCCAUGCUUGGUCUGUGUUCUCUGAUAUUGAGAAGAAGGGUUGUAGCGGUGAGGAUCUGCUGCUUGAAAUGGAUCGGAUACUAAGGCCUACUGGAUUUGUUAUCAUCAGGGACAAACAACCGGUUAUUGAGUUUGUAAAGAAGUACAUGGGUGCGAUGCACUGGGAAGCAGUUGGAACAGCUGAUUCCACUUCUGAUCCAGACCAGGAAGGAGAUGAACUCGUGUUUGUCAUCCAAAAGAAGCUGUGGUUGACUAGUGAAAGUUUGAGGGAUACAGAAUAGGCAAACAGUGUGGUGCACCUCAAUUGUCUUCUAUAUCCACACGCUCCCAUCUCUUUGGAUUCAAGAAGGACGUCCUGAGAGCAUGGAAAUCAGUUUUUUACUCUGUAGCAUUAUGUGAUGAUGAUUUUUCUAAAUUUUCUCUUCAGCUUUGAUUUUGAUUUAGUUGACAAGGCAUAGACUUCUGCACCUAUAGGCAAUUCUUCAUUGUUUUGAUAUCAAUAGAUUUUGAGUUAUUUUGAAGCCACUUUGCCAAUGACCAAUAAUCUCAGCUGCUAUACAUGCUAAAAGUGG
rnacentral:lncRNA from 1 species